AGUGUGGAGGCCAAACUCAGAAAUUGAAUUCAUUGGUGAUACAGUUGGAAGCACGGUGGCUUGGCCAAAUGACAAGCUUGUUUUAUUGUAAGAACGAUCUGUUGGUUUUGAACUUGUUAUGCUAUUAUGCUAGUUGCAGCACACUUUGAACUACCAAUGUUGAUUUCUCUACUUUUGUAAUAUUUGACAAGAAUGUUUUAAUGUUGAAUCUUUGAAGUUUAUGUUUCAUAAUAUAAUGUCUGACAAAAAAAAACCGAGUCUAUAUAAAAAUACAUAAAUAUAUAUAAAUUAUAAAAUGAAAUAUAUAAAUAUUACAAUUAUUUAAAUAUACUAUAUAAUAGCAUCAAUAUUAGCUGCUAUAAUUUCUAAAUAAUAUAUAUAGCAG
rnacentral:lncRNA from 1 species